rnacentral:tRNA from 1 species
UUAAUUAUAGCUAAAAAAGCAAUAUCACUGUUAAUGAUAAGAUAAGUAAAACUUUAAUUAAG